AUGCUCGAUAUCCAAAAAGAAAUCGAUACGAUCCACGUCAUAAUCCAUAUUGGAUUCCCAAAUUUAUUAAAGAAAGGAGCAAUCAAAGAAUUACAGAAAUAUCUACAAAAGGAAAUUAACUCUAUAAACUAGAGAUUUAAUAUUUCUAUAGAAAAAGUUAAAGAACCUUAUAGACAGCCUAACACUCCCUUCAACCCUUUGAGUGAAAUGUAG
rnacentral:rRNA from 1 species